GGGAAGGAAGGUAACUUGGCUUUUUUAUGCAUGUUGAUUGUAGAGAAAUUGAAAAAUAGAGGAAAACUGAGAAAAAUAGUAACCUAUAAUCCCAUGUACUGCCAUUAAAAAGCAGUCUUUGGAGGCGGUUUCUUUAGUUUUUCUGUUUUCCAAAUUUGUUUUUCCCAGGCACAGGCCUUUGGUGGCAGUCUAUCCACUGAAAAUACAGGUAUCCUUGGAAGGAACUGUACGUUAACA
rnacentral:lncRNA from 1 species